rnacentral:rRNA from 1 species
GAUGAACGCUGGCGGCGUGCCUAAUACAUGCAAGUCGAGCGAACAGACGAGGAGCUUGCUCCUCUGACGUUAGCGGCGGACGGGUGAGUAACACGUGGAUAACCUACCUAUAAGACUGGGAUAACUUCGGGAAACCGGAGCUAAUACCGGAUAAUAUAUUGAACCGCAUGGUUCAAUAUUGAAAGACGGUUUUGCUGUCACUUAUAGAUGGAUCCGCGCCGCAUUAGCUAGUUGGUAAGGUAACGGCUUACCAAGGCAACGAUGCGUAGCCGACCUGAGAGAGUGAUCGGCCACACUGGAACUGAGACACGGUCCAGACUCCUACGGGAGGCAGCAGUAGGGAAUCUUCCGCAAUGGGCGAAAGCUUGACGGAGCAACGCCGCGUGAGUGAUGAAGGUCUUCGGAUCGUAAAACUCUGUUAUUAGGGAAGAACAAAUGUGUAAGUAACUAUGCACGUCUUGACGGUACCUAAUCAGAAAGCCACGGCUAACUACGUG